rnacentral:rRNA from 1 species
ACGAACGCUGGCGGCCUGCCUAACCCAUGCCAGUCGAACGCGACCUUCGGGUCUAGUGGCGCACGGGUGCGUAACGCGUGGGAACCUGCCCUUAGGUUCGGAAUAACUCCCCGAAAGGGGUGCUAAUACCGGAUAAUGUCUUCGGACCAAAGAUUUAUCGCCUUUGGAUGGGCCCGCGUUGGAUUAGCUAGUUGGUAGGGUAAAAGCCUACCAAGGCGACGAUCCAUAGCUGGUCUGAGAGGAUGAUCGGCCACACUGGGACUGAGACACGGCCCAGACUCCUACGGGAGGCAGCAGUGGGGAAUAUUGGACAAUGGGCGAAAGCCUGAUCCAGCAAUGCCGCGUGAGUGAUGAAGGCCUUAGGGUUGUAAAGCUCUUUUACCCGGGAUGAUAAUGACAGUACCGGGAGAAUAAGCUCCGGCUAACUCCGUG